rnacentral:miRNA from 1 species
ACUUUAACAUGGAAGUGCUUUCU